CGCGUGCAGGAUGAAGGUCCUAUGGAUUGUAAACUGCUUUUGUAAGGGAAGAAUAAGGAGUACGUGUACUUUGAUGACGGUACCUUACGAAUAAGCAUCGGCUAACUCCGUGCCAGCAGCCGCGGUAAUACGGAGGAUACGAGCGUUAUCCGGAAUUAUUGGGUUUAAAGGGUGCGUAGGUGGCGUAUUAAGUCAGUGGUGAAAAGCUGCAGCUCAACUGUAGUCUUGCCGUUGAAACUGAUAUGCUAGAGAGGAGACGAGGUAUGCGGAAUGUGUGGUGUAGCGGUGAAAUGCAUAGAUAUCACACAGAACGCCGAUUGCGAAGGCAGCGUACCAGGCUCCGUCUGACACUGAAGCACGAAAGCGUGGGGAUCAAACAGGAUUAGAUACCCUGGUAGUCCACGCAGUAAACGAUGAAUACUAGAUUUUUGCGAUAUAGUGUAAGAGUCUAAGCGAAAGCGAUAAGUAUUCCACCUGGGGAGUACGCCGGCAACGGUGAAACUCAAAGGAAUUGACGGGGGCCCGCACAAGCGGAGGAACAUGUGGUUUAAUUCGAUGAUACGCGAGGAACCUUACCCGGGAUUGAAAUGUAGAUGACCGCUCCUGAAAGGGAGUUUUCCUUCGGGACAUCUAUGUAGGUGCUGCAUGGUUGUCGUCAGCUCGUGCCGUGAGGUGUCGGCUUAAGUGCCAUAACGAGCGCAACCCCUGUCUACGGUUGCCAUCAGGUAAUGCUGGGAACUCCGUAGAGACUGCCGUCGUAAGGCGUGAGGAAGGUGGGGAUGACGUCAAAUCAGCACGGCCCUUACAUCCGGGGCGACACACGUGUUACAAUGGCAGGGACAAAGGGAAGCGACAUGGUGACAUGAAGCGGAUCUCCAAACCCUGUCCCAGUUCGGAUCGGAGUCUGCAACUCGACUCCGUGAAGCUGGAUUCGCUAGUAAUCGCGCAUCAGCCAUGGCGCGGUGAAUACGUUCCCGGGCCUUGUACACACCGCCCGUCAAGCCAUGGAAGUUGGGAGUACCUGAAGAGCGUAACCGCAAGGGGCGCUUAAGGGUAAUACCAGUGACUGGGGCUAAGUCGUAACAAGGUAGCCGUACCGGAAGGUGCGGCUG
rnacentral:rRNA from 1 species